UGACCAUUUCUUUACCGGCUUUAAUGCCCGGGGAUAGAAAUCGAAGGCCAUACGGACAGCUAGGUCAAAUGCCGA
rnacentral:sRNA from 20 species